GCUGGCCGCCCGCAGAGCCCACACCGGGACACCUGCACCAUUCCCUAAGUAUACAGAAAGGAAAACUAACAUGCUCUUACAGUUCUGUAACCCUAGUUGUCAGCUCAUAUUUGAAGAGCCACUUAGUUGUGUGAAGCGGCAGGCUUUAUUCAGGUUUAAAUAACACAAUACGUUGCCUACUUGCCUUUUAAAAAAAUGUAUUGAUUUUCAUAAAGUUAUUUAGGCUUGACAACAAAUAAAGCAGGCUGCAGUAAUGGCAUACUAGCGUUAGGCUACUGCCUCUGAAUCUGUAAUGACCUGGGCAGUGAUUGCUUAGCAGCAUUUGGAAGGGUGCCUGCUUCUUCCCUAUGGCGCCUCAGUUGCCCUGAAGAAAGAGUUCAAGGAGCUGAAAAAGGCAGGAAAAAGGAGAGAUAAUCACCUGCCUUUGCAGGAGGAACAAACUAAAAACAAAUCCACAACAAAAUAACAACAAAUAAAACCAAACCAGCCAGGAUGAGGACAACAGGACAAGGUGCAGAAGGGGUAGAUACACAAAGGGUGUAAAAGUGUAUGUAAAACAGACAGCAGAGGGAGAGAAGAGGAGGGAAUAAAACCUUGCACAAAAUUAGAAGAAAUAUCUAAACUCUGUUUUUUUGCAAACCUGACGACCGGAAGAGGAUGGAGGGAGAUGGGCAGCUCCCAGGAAUGAAAGGCAUUUUUCAAGGGAGGAUUUUCUCAGGGAAAGGAACCAAUUCACCAGUCUUAUAAUAAAGCUCUUCCAGGAUGACCCAGACUUUCAGUUCAGUCUACCAAGAUUUGUGACAGAAGAUAUUAGAGAAACUUGACUGUGCUCUUCACAACAAGGGGUUACUUUUUAUGUCUGUACAAAAUUUUUUGUGACAGACUGAAGAAUGAAGACUGGACAUUCAAAAUCUCAGUAAAUGUAACUAGUAACAUGCAAUGGACUGUUAUGUCUCCUAAAACUGAGAGUGCCUGACAGAAGAAAUACAUAUCUUAGAACAUUGGUAGUGAAACAACUGCAAAUUAAAGACUGCCAGGAAGUCCUUAUAUAGGUCAUGCAAAGUAAGGUGACCAACAAUCCAAUUUAUUUUUUAGUAUUUUUAUAUUUAUGUCAACACAAGGAUCCACAAUUGUAUCCUGACAGAGUUUCUGAAACUUUUAUGUCUAUCUAAUGGGUACAGCAGAGAACUGCAUCUAAAAUGAUAAAGAAUCUUUGAAAAUGGCCCCAGGCAGAGUUUACUGCAGUCACCGAAUUCUGGAGGAUCAUGUACAUGAGAACUUUUCAUAUUUACUCUUUCAACUGUCAUUGCUGAAGACUUUUAUACUCUUUAUUUUUCUCUUCUACUGAAGACGAAAAGCUGGCAUGUAAUUUGCAUGAACUGCUUUCAAAAUCUGCUUCUGAACAUGACAGUCUGCUGAGCUGCUGUCACAGUGAAAAAGACAACCCCAAGAGCUUUUGUGGGAAGAAGAUGGAAUAAUAUGUUUGGACUCAGAAACUACCUUCUCUGAUUUUUGCUUCUCUUAUGGUUGUGAUGACCAAGGUCAGAAUAGCCAGAUGACAGAUAGAUACAGAAGUGAGUACUAACAUGGAAAGCAAAAAAAUUGUCCUUUCUUUCCUACCCUGGAUUCUUUUUUUCUAUACACAGUGAGUUUUGCUGACAAUGACUGUCUCUAGAUUUGUGUCUACAGUUCAGUUUGUACCUCAUAUUCCUCUGUGGACAAGUUCUGAAAUGGGUAUUUAAUGUUUCUCUUUACUAUAGUUGCCACCAAGAUACCUGCUAGAAGACUGUUCUCACUUUUUUGAGAGCCAGCCAUGUUCUGGGGUAUAUCAGGAGCAGGAUCACCAGCUGGUCAAUGGAGGGGUUUGUCCUGCUCUAUUCUGGGCUGGCAUGGCCUCACCUCAAGUCCUGUGUACAGUUUUGUGUACACAGAACUUUAGCAUAUAAAUGACAUUAAGCUCUUGGACUGCAUCAAAUAAGAGCCGUGGGGAUGGUGAAGGGCCUUGAGGGGGAGCUGCACAAGGACAGUAUGAGGUCACUUGGUCUGUCCAGCCUGGAGGAGGCUGAUGGGAUACCUCAUUUGCAGUCACUAUUUCUGUGUGAGGGGAAAUGGAGACACAGACACUGAUAUCUUCUCUGUGGUGACCAGUGACAAGACCCAAAGGAAUGGCAUAAAGAAAAGUCAGGGGAGAUUUAGGUUAGAUACUGGGAAAAUGUUCUUCUCCUAGAGGGUGUCUGGGCAUCGGAACAGGCUCCCCAGGGCAGUGGACUCAAGAAGCAUUUAGACAACACUUUUAGUCACAUGGUGUGACUCUUGGGAUUGUGCUGUGCAGGGCCAGGGUCCUUUGCUGCUCAGGAUAUUCUGAUUGUAUGACUCAUUACUUACAGGUAUUAUAUUUGGAAAACAGAAAGGUGUUGUUUUAAAGUAAAUUUUUGCAUUUAUUUUCUGAUUUUUGUUUCAAAUACU